rnacentral:rRNA from 1 species
GACGAACGCUGGCGGCGUGCCUAAUACAUGCAAGUUGAGCGCUGAAGGUUGGUACUUGUACCAACUGGAUGAGCAGCGAACGGGUGAGUAACGCGUGGGGAAUCUGCCUUUGAUCGGGGGACAACAUUUGGAAACGAAUGCUAAUACCGCAUAAAAACUUUAAACACAAGUUUUAAGGUUGAAAGAUGCAAUUUCAUCACUCAAAGAUGAUCCCGCGUUGUAUUAGCUAGUUGGUGAGGUAAAGGCUCACCAAGGCGAUGAUACAUAGCCGACCUGAGAGGGUGAUCGGCCACAUUGGGACUGAGACACGGCCCAAACGGCUACGGGAGGCAGCAGUAGGGAAUCUUCGGCAAUGGACGAAAGUCUGACCGAGCAACGCCGCGUGAGUGAAGAAGGAUUUCGGAUCGUAAAACUCUGUUGGUAGAGAAGAACGUUGGUGAGAGUGGAAAGCUCAUCAAGUGACGGUAACUACCCAGAAAGGGACGGCUAACUACGUG